CCAUGGAACCGAGGGCACCGCAUCCUUCACUGCCUCCACCGCCCGCAGGGGGCGCCCAAGUCCGGCUCCAGGACUCACGCCGGGCAUGCGCGCUCUGCCGGCGUCUUCUGCCUGCGUUCGCAGGACCCCGGCCUCCUCAGGACCAGCUGUGGAGGCUCUGGGAGGAUGUCGGGCCGUGUUCACGCUGACAGAAAUUCAGUCUUCCUUAGGACCCCCUGUGGAAGGUUGGGGGGACGGAGAGCCGCGUCCACGCUGACGGGAGCCCGGACUCCUCAUGAUCCUCUGUGGGGGAUUUGGAGGGACAUGGGCCCGCGCCCACGCUGAGGGGAGCAUGGGCUCCUCAGGACCCGCGCUGGUGACUUUGGGAGGACAUGGGGCCCCGUCGACGCCGACAAGAACCCGGUCUCCUCAGGACCCGCUGUGGAGGCUUCGGGAGGACGUGGGGCCGCGUCCACGCCGACAAGAACCCGUCUCCUCAGGACCCGCCGCGGGAGGAGCAGUCUAUGCAGAUCAGAAUCAACCUCCAUCUACCUCCAUCCUUUAUGAGACCUAGGACGUGGUGCAGCUCCCAUGGGGAAUAUCAGUUGUGUCUCUACCAAGGAUGCAGAGAAAGACAAGGACUCAUGGAUUGCGGGGUCCCACGACAUCACCUCAUC